GCUCGACAAGGGCAAAUCCAAUGAAAAUUGGAGACGCAAAGUUACCGAUCUAAGGGGAAACCUAUGAUAGCGGAACUGCCAAA
rnacentral:ncRNA from 1 species